AAGGAAAUGCGAUCCAAAAGAGAAACUGAAACUUAACGGCCAUUUUAAAAACGGAAGAGAAAGAAUCCCUAGAAAAGAAGGAAUCAAAAUAAAUGUAAAAAAACGGAGUGAACAGCCUGUUGUGGAGUGGAACUGAGGUCUGCCAAUUUGGGUCAGUACCCACUGGUGAAUCUGGUGUGUUCAGGUGUCCUGCGACAGGGGGCGCUGUUUCAAAAAUGAGUUCCUCAGAGGAGACCGAGACUGACGAUGGAACCCACGGCCCUGCGAGAGAGAGGCUCCAGGUAGAUCGGGCUGGGUCACCUGUACCCAGCUGUCUGUCUAUGAAGAGUGACCGUUCAAUGGAUUUUCCAAUCAAAUUCAGAGGAGAGUUCAGAAGUGAUCAAAGG